rnacentral:rRNA from 1 species
AUUGAACGCUGGCGGCAGGCCUAACACAUGCAAGUCGAACGGUAACAGGAAGCAGCUUGCUGCUUCGCUGACGAGUGGCGGACGGGUGAGUCAUGUCUGGGAAGCUGCCUGAUGGAGGGGGAUAACUACUGGAAACGGUAGCUAAUACCGCAUAAUGUCGCAAGACCAAAGAGGGGGACCUUCGGGCCUCUUGCCAUCGGAUGUGCCCAGAUGGGAUUAGCUUGUUGGUGGGGUAACGGCUCACCAAGGCGACGAUCCCUAGCUGGUCUGAGAGGAUGACCAGCCACACUGGAACUGAGACACGGUCCAGACUCCUACGGGAGGCAGCAGUGGGGAAUAUUGCACAAUGGGCGCAAGCCUGAUGCAGCCAUGCCGCGUGUAUGAAGAAGGCCUUCGGGUUGUAAAGUACUUUCAGCGGGGAGGAAGGGAGUAAAGUUAAUACCUUUGCUCAUUGACGUUACCCGCAGAAGAAGCACCGGCUAACUCCGUG